rnacentral:rRNA from 1 species
CCUACGGGGGGCAGCAGUGAGGAAUAUUGGUCAAUGGGCGCGAGCCUGAACCAGCCAAGUCGCGUGAGGGAUGAAGGUUCUAUGGAUCGUAAACCUCUUUUAUAAGGGAAUAAAGUGUGGGACGUGUCCUACUUUGUAUGUAUCUUAUGAAUAAGGAUCGGCUAACAUCGUGACAGCAGCCGCGGUAAUAUGGAGGAUGCGUGCGUUAUCGGGAUUUAUUGGGUUAAAAGGGUGGGUGGGCGGAUCGUUUAGUUCGUGGUCAAAUUGAGGGGCUCAACCCCUUCCCGCCAUUGAUACUGGCGCCCGUGAGUGGAAGAGGGGGAUGCGGAAUUCGUGGUGUAGCGGUGAAAUGCUUAGAUAUCACGAAGAACCCCGGUUGCGAAGGCAGGAUGCCGGCUUCCGACUGACGCUGAGGCACGAAAGCGUGGGGAUCGAACAGGAUUAGAUACCCUAGUAGUC